rnacentral:rRNA from 1 species
UACGGAGGAUCCAAGCGUUAUCCGGAUUUAUUGGGUUUAAAGGGUGCGUAGGCGGGUAGGUAAGUCAGUGGUGAAAUCUUCGAGCUUAACUCGGAAACUGCCUUUGAUACUAUCUAUCUUGAAUAUUGUGGAGGUAAGCGGAAUAUGUCAUGUAGCGGUGAAAUGCUUAGAUAUGACAUAGAACACCUAUUGCGAAGGCAGCUUACUACGCAUAUAUUGACGCUGAGGCACGAAAGCGUGGGGAUCAAACAGG